rnacentral:rRNA from 1 species
GAACUGAAGAGUUUGAUCAUGGCUCAGAUUGAACGCUGGCGGCAGGCCUAACACAUGCAAGUCGAGCGGAUGAGUGGAGCUUGCUCCAUGAUUCAGCGGCGGACGGGUGAGUAAUACCUAGGAAUCUGCCUGGUAGUGGGGGACAACGUUUCGAAAGGAACGCUAAUACCGCAUACGUCCUACGGGAGAAAGUGGGGGAUCUUCGGACCUCACGCUAUCAGAUGAGCCUAGGUCGGAUUAGCUAGUUGGUGAGGUAAAGGCUCACCAAGGCGACGAUCCGUAACUGGUCUGAGAGGAUGAUCAGUCACACUGGAACUGAGACACGGUCCAGACUC